GACGUAGGAGGCGAGCGUUAUCCGGAUUCACUGGGCGUAAAGCGCAUGUAGGCGGAUGGUCAAGUCGCAUGUUAAAGCCCCCGGCUCAACCGGGGGAGGUCAUGCGAGACUGGCUGACUUGAGGGCAAUAGAGGCACGUGGAACUCCCGGUGUAGCGGUGGAAUGCGUAGAGAUCGGGAAGAACACCCGUGGCGAAGGCGGCGUGCUGGGUUGUGCCUGACGCUGAGAUGCGAAAGUGUGGGGAGCAAACGGG
rnacentral:rRNA from 1 species